CGGCAGGCUUAACACAUGCAAGUCGAACGCGUGUAGCAAUACACGAGUGGCGCACGGGUGCGUAACGCGUGGGAACCUACCCUAUAGUACGGAAUAACCCAGGGAAACUUGGGCUAAUACCGUAUACGUCCUUCGGGAGAAAGAUUUAUCGCUAUGGGAUGGGCCCGCGUCAGAUUAGGUAGUUGGUAGGGUAAUGGCCUACCAAGCCGACGAUCUGUAGCUGGUCUGAGAGGAUGAUCAGCCACACUGGGACUGAGACACGGCCCAGACUCC
rnacentral:rRNA from 1 species